rnacentral:rRNA from 1 species
GACGAACGCUGGCGGCGUGCUUAACACAUGCAAGUCGAACGGAAAGGCCGGGCAUUCUUGGGGUGCUCGGGGGGCGAACGGGUAAUUAACCGGUAAGUACCCUGCCCUGGACUUUGGGAUAACUUAAGGAAACUGGGUCUAACACCGGACCGGAGCUCGUGCGCCAUGGUGGGGGUGGGAAAGUUUCGGCGGUUGGGGAUGGACUCGCGGCUGAACGGCUUGUUGGUGGGGUAGUGGCUUACCAAGGCUUGGACGGGUUGUCGGCCUGAGAGGGUGACCGGCCACAAUGGGACUGAGAUACGGCCCAGACUCCUACGUGAGGCAGCGGUGGGAAAUAUUGCACAAUGGGCGGAAGCCUGAUGCAGCAACGCCGCGUGCGGGAUGACGGCCUUCGGGUUGUAAACCGCUUUCGCCUGUGACGAAGCGUGAGUGACGGUAAUGGGUAAAGAAGCACCGGCUAACUACGUG